rnacentral:lncRNA from 1 species
GCGGCAGCGACCUGUCCACGCCACCUGAGCGUGGUGUUUGCCCCCUCGUUGGGCAAGCCCGGCAGAAAGUGGGAGCGACUGGAGGGGGCAAGGGACCCGGGGCCUCGGAGCGUGCCGUCGUGGCCGCUCCUGCCAGCCCGGGGACGGUGCGGGAAGGGGGCCCUGCCCUCCGGCCCUCGGGUUCCUGGGACCGGCCCUCCCGCCCUGCACCGGGUCACCAGGUGCCCCGCGGGAGCGCGCUGGGCUCGGGCUGUGGCCGAGACCUGGUACACGUUCGGGGAAACUGAUUACAGCUUGAAAGGCAUCCACCAACGCCUGCUGGGCCCGGUCUUCUCUGUCCGGGGCAGGGCGGCUCUGAAAAUACCAGCUAUUUGCUUGCCACUCCAGGCCGAUGACAGACGUGGAGAAAACCAGCUGCCAGCGAGCUGGAGACGCCCGUUCCCGAGGGCGCGAGGCAGCCACAGCCAAAUGCCACCACGACCCCGCCUCGGAGGGACCGCAGCCCCCUAGCCCUCGGAGAAACCCUGUUCCCGAAACCACCUGGCAGACGCUGUCCGCUUUGAGAUUACAGCAGGGAGAAGGAAACAUGCCCGUCUGGCCGGGGAGCUCAGCCACUAACCGAGACUUAGCCUCUGUCAUCCCAAUCCAGGCUGCAGCUCCAGAUAGGGGGCGUCUGCACACAGCUUCCCACACUUGGCCCCGCGGAACACAGUCCUGCUGGCCUCAGCCUGUGGGAACCCUGCUUCAUGUAAAGGUCACCUAAACUCUGCCUUCCCUCAACCCCUUCAAACUCUGCCUUUCCCUUCGUUCUUGGGAGGCGCUCCCUCAUUGCAGUGGGUCAGUACACCCGAUUUUGUGGACCACAGGUUUGCUCCUGGUGGUCUUGGGCUGAAGGGGCUGCAAAGGUUACUGAAUUUCGUGGAGGUAAAAAUUGCCCGCAGGAAAUGUCAUGAAAGUCCAGGUGCAGUAGGUUUCCUGGUGUGAUGCUUCAAAGUUAUCUUCUUACCUGGAGCCCCUUCCAGCUGCAGACUUCAGAGGUCGGAGGUUAAUCAAUCUGGAAUGACCCCACAGCCCACCCAGCUCCAGCUCGGGAUUCACUCCUGCACUAUGUCCUAGGGAUUCUGGAGCCAACAAGAUCGAACUUCGGGCACAGAUGGCAGGGCUGUGGGGUCGAGCUUGGCUGCAAGCUCCGAACACUGAUGCAAUCUCUCUGAGGGUGAUCUGGCAAUUCAGAAGUCAUAAAAAUGAUAGUGCCCUAUGACCACUUCUACCACUCUGGGGAAUUGAGUUCAAGGAAAGCUUAAGAAGACAAAAAGCAAGUUAUGCAAAUAUGUUAUCUGCUGUGGUGUGGUAAAGUUUAAUCCCCCAGCUGUGGUGCACACCUGGCAAAGAAUGGAGGCGCUGACACUUAUUGAUCAUUACUUGCAGUGUACACGUAUUAACUCCUGAUCCCUGCAAAUAGCCUGCUAUUACCCCCGCUUGACAAUGGAGAAGUUAUCUUACCCAGAUGUCAUUUCCUCUUCCUGGGAGCUGCCAUGGUCCUUCCCCUCUCCUGCAGCACUUAGUCCAAUACUGAAUCUUCAUGAUGUGACUCUUCAUAAUGCGCAUGGUUGACGCAGGAAGGAGCCCUCUCACCAUCAUGUCUCCUCACCUCCUCUGGCCGCUAAUAUUGCUGAAGUGGCUAAAUGAGUCCCAGUAUUAAUUAUCUCAGCCAUUUUCAGGUAAUUUAUUUAUUUAUUUAUUAUUAAUGUUUUUGAGAUGGAGUCUUGCUCUGUCACCCAGGCUGGAGUGCAGUGGUGCAAUCUCCGCUCACUGCAACCUCCGCCUCCUGGGUUCAAGCAAUUCUCCUGCCUCAGCCUCCCAUGUAGCUGGGAUUAUAGGCACUCACUACCAUGCCCAGCUAAUUUUUGUAUUUUUAGUGGAGACAGGAUUUCACCAUGUUUCUGGGCUGGUCUUUAACUCCUGACCUCAGGUGAUCCGCCCGCCUCAGCCCCCCAAAGUGCUGGGAUUACAGGCGUAAGCCACCGCACCUGGCCAUCAUUUUCAAAUAAAUAAUUUUUAGAUAGUUUUAAGUGUUGUAAAGAAAAGCAGGUUGAGCUGUUAGUUACAGGAGGUGAUAUCUCAGCUGAGACUAAAAAAAAAAAAUGAAAGAAUGGACCAGGUGCAGUGGCUCACACCUGUAAUCUCAGCACUUUGGGAGGCCAGGGUGGGUGGAUCACUUGAAGUCACGAGUUCAAGACCGGCCUGGCCAACAUGAUGAAACCCCGUCUCUACCAAAAAUACAAAAGUUAGCUGGGCGUGGUGGCGCAUGCCUGUAAUCCCAGCACUUGGGAGUCUGAGGUAUGAGAAUCGCUUGAACCCGGAGGUGGAGGUUGCAGUGAGCCGAGAUUGCAGUCUGGGCGACAGGGCAAGACUCCAUCUAAAAAAAAAAAAAGGCAUGAAUGAAUCUGGGGGAAUAGCAAAUGCAAAGGUCCUGAGGUGGGCAUCCACUUGGACAGUUCACAAAAGAGGCAUCUGAGGGGCAUUGGGAUACACCACCCCAAAAUAUGCCUCUUCGCAUGUGGAUUAUUUUGAAUUAAAGGCCAUUAAGAACCAGCAGACCACAGGAAAGGCUCUAAAAACCAUUUUCAUUUUGUAAAAAAAAUUCACAUUUAUUAUAAAGGAAAUUUCCACGUCUCCCUCUUCCAUGCAAGGAAGAGGAUAUCUUGUAACAACUCUUAUCAGUGGAAGAAAGUACUGACUUAAGUCUGCAUAACAAACCUUCCUAAACAACCCUUGUUUACCAUACUUUUCCUGGGCACCUUCUGCUGAGGUUUGAAUAUACCCUCCAAAACUCAUGUUGAAAUUUAAUUGCCAUUGUAUAAGAGGUAGGACUGUUCAGAGGUGAUUAGGCCAUGAGGCCUCCACCCUCAAGGAUAGAUUAAUGCCAUUGUGGGAGUGGGUUGUUAUAAAAAUGAGUUUGACCCUCUCUUGUUCUGUCUCUUUCACCCUCUCUUGUACUUCCACCCUCCUUCCAUGGGACAAUGUAGCAUAAAGGCCCUCACCAGAUGCCAAUGCCAUGCUCUUGGACUUCCCAGUCUUCAGAACCAUGAGCCAGAUAAGCCACUUUUCUUUAUAAAUUACACAGUCUGUGGCAUUCUGUUACAGCAGCACAAAUAGACCAAGACACCUUCCCACUACAUGCCUCCCCUGCCCAGAAGCUCCAGGCCUUUUCCUUUAUGUCAGCCUAAGAUGAUAGAUGAACCCAAGUCCUGACCACACUUUGGGUUAUUCAUUGCCAGGUACUGCCACAUGUAAGUGCAAUGCACAUGCCAAUAAACUUGUUUUUUUCUUGCCUGAUUGAAUUGUCUUUGGCUGGUGUAAUUAGAGGCCCCCUAGCUGGAGACCCUAACAUGGGCUGGGGAAAAGAUUUUUUUCCUUCUGUAAAUAACCAAGAGUUGGAUUCAGCUUCAUCUUCCAUUUUAGCAACAAAACUGCCAGGCUUCAGAACAGGCAAAAUGGAAAGAAAUUGGGCUAUGCUUUUAUUUUAUAUAAAGCUGAAAAGCAGUUUUGCCCUUCUAAGAGAAAGGAUUGUUCUGGCAGCCUGGAUCAGAGCAGUGAUCAGGCCAGAGCAUCUGCUAACCUCAGCAUCAGGGAAUCCCUGUUUUAGACUGUCCUCUACGUCUCUGUCUUCUCCUUUUGGGAGGUAAUUUUUAAAAAAUCACUAAGAAGGGAUGGAUGCUGGUUCUGGUUUCGUUACUGUUGUAGGGAGCUAUUCUGUGUUGCUGGAGAUAAUACAUUACCUUUAAAGUUCUUUUAUCUUUUUGUUUUUGAGACAGGGUUUCAUGGUGUUGCCCAGGCUGGAAUGCCAUGGUGUGAUCACGGCUCACUGCAGCCUCGAUCUCCCAGGCUCAGGUUAUCCUCCCACCCCAGCCUCCCAAGUAGUUGGAACUACAGGUGCAUGCCACCACGCCCAGCUAAUUUUUGUAUUUAUUAUAGAGAUGAGCUUUCUCUAUGUUGCCUAGGCUGGUCUUGAACUCAUAGGCUCAAGCCAUCCACCCAACUCGGUCUCCCUAAAGUGUUGGGAUUACAGGCAUGAGCCACUGUGCCCAGCCUGAAGUUCUUUAAAUAGGUAUUUAAGAUUCUGUCUGUAGCAAGUCCCCUGUCAUCUGCCUCAGAAAAAGAGAUGAAAGAUGUCUUGUGAAUGGAAGAAGAUGCUGUGGGACUUAGAAGCGGGGUGUGGAAAACAGACAUUUUUGGUCGGCUAGGCUUAAGCUUCUUGAGGACCUGAAGAGUGUCUCAUUGAUCGCUGGUGAAAUGAGUGACUCAGAAGCACCGCCGGCCCUUGAGACCGCAGGUGCGGAGGGAAAAUCUCUCUGGGAUCCCAGCAACGCCACUGGCAGAUCUGUGCUGGUCAAUUUCGUGUUUGCAAAUGAACACAGACCCAGGCUUUCAGGAAACAGAGAUAAAUAACAAAUGCAUUAUUUUUGAGAGGCUGGUAAUUAUAAAGCUCGAGGGAAUAAAGAGCCCACCAGCUGGAAUGACACUGUGGAACUGAUGCCCUCCCUCCACUGGGGUGUGUCAACAGAUAUUCUUAGUGACAUUAAUGAUUUUAACACACUGACAUUAAAGGAAAAAGAAUCUAUUGAAGGGCUGGGUUGCCCCUCCACACCUGUGGGUAUUUCUCGUUAGGUGGAACGAGAGACUUGGAAAAGAAAAAGACACAGAGACAAAGUAUAGAGAAAGAAAUAAGGGGGCCCAGGGGACCAGCGUUCAGCAUAUGGAGGAUCCUGCCAGCCUCUGAGUUCCCUUAGUAUUUAUUGAUCAUUAUUGGGUGUUUCUCGGAGAGGGGGAUGUGGCAGGGUCACAGGAUAAUAGUGGAGAGAAGGUCAGCAGAUAAACACAUGAACAAAGGUCUCUGCAUCAUAGACAAGGUAAAGAAUUAAGUGCUGUGCUUUAGAUAUGCAUACACAUAAACAUCUCAAUGUCUUACAGAGCAGUAUUGUUGCCCGCAUGUCCCACCUCCAGCCCUAAGGCAGUUUACCCCAUCUCAGUAGAUGGAACAUACAAUCGGGUUUUAUACCGAGACAUUCCAUUGCCCAGGGAGGGGCAGGAGACAGAUGCCUUCCUCUUGUCUCAACUGCAAAGAAGCAUUAGUGAUACUGAGAAGAAAUGAAAUGGAGAUAGGGAAGAAGGAAGCCGCUCCUCUCUACAGGAUGCCAAAUCAAUGCAGGAGGAGAUUCUGAGAACUACUGGACAACGGCCACAGGGGAACAGGGGAUUCAUUCCAUCUCAAAGCCUCACCCUACACAUUAUCUUUAUUAGCUAUAAAAGGGAAAAGGGAUUUGCAAUGGAGAGUUAUGGCAGACUCCAGCCUCAUGAAGUGACACAACUUAGCAUUGCCACCCAGGGGACAAACCCACACUAUGAGUCUGAUUCAGUGCACCAAGAAGGACAAACAUCACUUACUCUGCUAUAACAUAACGCAGUAUAUUAUACACUAACAUAUGUAGUAUAUUACAUUACAUAAUAACAUAGUACAGGCUUCUAGGACACAGUUUAUAGAAGUGCAGAUAAUACUUGAGGCAGUUUCCCAAACUUGCAAAUAAAAACUCUCCACAGGGCUUGUGACUAGCACAUUCCCAAAGCCCCAAACCCAGAAUUCCACCUGCUUAGUGAGCACCUCCAGAGCACUUUUUUUUUUUUUUUUUUUUGAGACGGAGUUUUGCUCUUGUUGCCCAGGCUGGAGUGCAAUGGCAGGAUCUCGGCUCACUGCAACCUCCACCUCCCAGGUUCAAGCGAUUCUCGUGCCUCAGCCUCCUGAGCAGCUGGGAUUACAGGCACCCACCUAAUUUUUGUAUUUUUAGUAGAGAUGGAGUUUCACCAUGUUGGUCAGGCUGGUCUUGAACUCCCAACCUCAGGUGAUCCACCCACCUUGGCCUCCCAAAGUGCUAGGAUUACAGGCACGAGCCACUGCGCUCGGCCAUCUCUAGGGCAUAUUUUUACUGUGCAAUGUGGGAAUCUCUGCCAUAGGGUGGGCUGCCUUUCUAACCCAGUGGCCCGGUUCUAGCAGGACUUCCCCAGUAUGUGGAUGGGGGCACAGGGACUCUUGGGGGGGCCUCAAGGCAUCUGUGAGCUAGGCCUAACCACCGCUACUGAAUGACUGCGAGAUGAGUCCCAGAGCUGGGACGAGAGUGGGCCUGGUACCCUGCCCCAGCCCUCCCCUGACAGGAGUUAGUAAGGGACAGGUUAGCAUGCUAAAGAGAUAGCAAGCUGGUCACAGCCUAGGGCCACCACCCUUCUGUCUUACAAGUCAGAAACAUGUCCUGACUUUGGGGGAGAGGGUAUAUGUUAAACGGGCCCACCCUGGGAGCUGUAGUGGUCACUGUGGAGCUGAGCACUGGGCUGCACUCCUCGCUGCCCCAGAGUGACCAGGUGGGUGGUUUCAUCCAAGAGGCAGGGCUCAGAAGGCCAGGCUGAGCCACCGAUAUGCAUGUCUGCACCCCACCACUUCCUGCUCAGUCUGUAUCAGGCCCGGGAUGAAAUCGUCACUUAGACGCUCAGGGGUCCUCCCACCCAUCUGGCCAACACAAACCUGCCAGCAUAGCACUGAGUGGAAGGUUCCAGUGCACCCACAGGCCUGGCUGUUAAAAUGUCCGGCCUCUCCAGAGGACAGGUUAAGUUCACACUGAGAAAGCCUGGCUCUCUCCAGCUAGCCUGAAUUAAAGUGAGAAGGAUGAGCACAGCACCUGUGGAAAUGGCGCUGGAAAGCAAGUGUACCUAGGAACUGCCUCUGGGCCACCGAAGUGCGCCGGCCCAGUGUUCUCAGACAACCCAGGAGGAGUCCUCCAUCUGGCCACUUCCCACCCGUUAGGCCCCGAGGGGACACCAGGUUGGUGAGACCCGGACCCCACCAGCAAAGGACCCUUCCUUCAUUCAUCACACACUGGCUCCAUCUGCACUGCACCUACUGCCAGCCAGGCACUGAGCUUCACAUCCGCACAAAACACAAAGACCUCUGAUACGGUUUGGGUCUGUGUUCCCACCUAAACCUCGUGGUGAAUUGUGAUUAUGUUGAGUUGUUUUGGAGGUAGGGCCUGGUGAGAAGUGACUCGAUGAUGGGGUGGAUUUCUCAUGAAUGGUUUAGCACCAUCUCCUUGAUGCUGUUCUUAAGAUAGUGAGUUUUCACGAAAUCUGGUUGUUUAAAAGUGUGCGCCCCACCCCUUGCUUCUGCUCUGGCCAUGUGAUCUGCCUGCCUUCCCCUUCGCCUUCCACCAUGAUUGUAAGAUUCCUGAGGCCUCCCCAGAGGCUGAGCAGAUAUCGGUACUACGCUUGCUAUACAGCCUGCAGAACUAUGAGCCAAUUAAACCUCUUUUCUUUAUAAAUUACCCAGUCUCAAGUAUUUAGAGCAAUGCAAAAAUGGACUACUACAACCUCACGGUUCUGGAGGCUGAAAAGUCUAAGGAUGGAGUGUCCUUCUCAGUGUGCAGUCAAGAUGCCGGCAGGUUUGGGGCCUGGUGAGGCUCUUUGCUUCUUCCAUGGUGUCUUUUGCACGGUGCGUCCUCCGGAGGGGAGGAAGGCUGCAUGCUUACAUGGCAGAAGGUGAAAAGCCAAGAGAGAAC